UAUAUAUAAAAAUUGCAAUCGCUUGGUGAAUAUCAAUACGCGAGUAUAUAUAAAAACAAAAUAUAACUUUUAACGUUUUUGGAAUUUUUUAUCCUAUAUUAUCUAAAACAUACUAUACAUAUUAUUGACCGUGGUAGAAUUGAAAAUGUACUCUAAACAACCAAAGGUACAAAAUUGUCCUAACAAUGGUUCGAAAAAAUAUAUAAUACCUGUAUAAUGCAUUAAAUUAAUUUAAAUUAAUUUAAGGAAUAUAAAUCACCGUGUUAUUUAUUGUUCAUAUAACACUUAUAUCGUAAUGUCGAGGAUAAGCCAAAGUUCUAUUUUAUUUUGUUCGGAUGUUUUUCGUUAGGUAAUAAUAAUUGUUACAAUCGGUUGAUUUUAUUGUACCCCGGUGUUUGUGUGUGUGUAUUGUAAAACUGUCAUUUGGAUUAACGCCAGUCAUACCGCACUUUAAUGUAAUCCCGACAAUUAUAAUUGUUUAUUUUAGUUAACCGAGUUGGCCAAAUGCACAAUUUGUCCAAGUAUAUAUACUUAUUUAUUUUUCCGUACAGGUUUUUUUUUCCGCUCUUUAUUUGUAUUCUGCGUUCUUGUAAAUUAUGUACACAAAGUUUUAUUUUGCGGAUACAUAUUUAGAUAUAAGUACGUAAAGUUUAUAUUGGGGGUGGGGGUGAACUAUUAUAUUAAACUAAUAUUGUAUUCGCGAUACCUUCAAUACAAUAAUAUAAUGUCGUCAAACGUCGUAUACAAAUUUUCGAUAGGUUCACGGAAAGCCAUGAAAAAAAAAAAAAAAAACGUUUGAUGGAUCUUGUAUCGAAUUUUUAAAUAUGUUUGCGGGG